CAUGCUUUCGCUCCUCAGCGUCAGUUACAGCCCAGAGACCUGCCUUCGCCAUCGGUGUUCCUCCUGAUAUCUGCGCAUUCCACCGCUACACCAGGAAUUCCAGUCUCCCCUACUGCACUCUAGUCUGCCCGUACCCACCGCAGAUCCGGGGUUAAGCCCCGGACUUUCACGACAGACGCGACAAACCGCCUACGAGCUCUUUACGCCCAAUAAUUCCGGAUAACGCUCGCACCCUACGUAUUACCGCGGCUGCUGGCACGUAGUUAGCCGGUGCUUCUUCUGCAGGUACCGUCACUUUCGCUUCUUCCCUACUGAAAGAGGUUUACAACCCGAAGGCCGUCAUCCCUCACGCGGCGUCGCUGCAUCAGGCUUUCGCCCAUUGUGCAAUAUUCCCCACUGCUGCCUCCCGUAGGAGUCUGGGCCGUGUCUCAGUCCCAGUGUGGCCGGUCACCCUCUCAGGCCGGCUACCCGUCGUCGCCUUGGUGAGCCAUUACCUCACCAACAAGCUGAUAGGCCGCGAGUCCAUCCAAAACCGAUAAAUCUUUCCAACACCCACCAUGCGGUAGGCGCUCCUAUCCGGUAUUAGACCYAGUUUCCCAGGCUUAUCCCAGAGUUAAGGGCAGGUUACUCACGUGUUACUCACCCGUUCGCCACUAAUCCACCCAGCAAGCUGGGCUUCAUCGUUCGACUUGCAUGUGUUAAGCACGCCGCCAGCGUUCAUCCUGAGCCA
rnacentral:rRNA from 1 species